ACCGAUUUUAUUCAUUUAAGUUUCAUAUGAAAGCCAAUGAGUUUCUUUAUAAAAAAGGCCUUUACAAGUUUCCUUCUAACUCCAGUAGUUUCGGAGUUAUUAAGGAGUUUUUGCAUGAAUUGAAAAAAUUGUUGAUACAGUCAAAGGCUUUACAAAAAUCCAAAUAUCUCGAAAACUCUUGGACCGAUUUUAUUCAUUUAAGUUUCAUAUGAAAGCCAAUGAGUUUCUUCAUAAAAAAGGCCUUUACAAGUUUCCUUGUAACUCCAGUAGUUUUGGAGUUAUUGAGGAGUUUUUGCAUGAAUUGAAAAAAUUGUUGAUACAGUCGAAGGCUUUACAAAAAUCCAAAUAUCUCGAAAACUCCUGGACCGAUUUUAUUCAUUUAAGUUUCAUAUGAAAGCCAAUAAGUUUCU